AUAUUAGAGACUUUUAAAAAAGCACUCUCACAAAAUAAUGCUUUUAUAAUCAAUUUAAAAGUCUUUCAAAUCAUUAACCAUUUUCUAAAGGCGAAGAAGAAGAAUCAUCAAUCUUCAUACCAUUUAAUAAAGCUAUUUUAAUAAAACGCAAUACAAAUUGUUGUAAAUUAGUAUUUGAAUAAUUUUCACGUUGUUACCUUA